UAAGAAUUCUUUUUUUAUAAA
rnacentral:piRNA from 1 species